rnacentral:rRNA from 1 species
UGCCAGCCGCCGCGGUAAUACGGAGGGGGUUAGCGUUGUUCGGAAUUACUGGGCGUAAAGCGCACGUAGGCGGACUGGAAAGUUGGGGGUGAAAUCCCAGGGCUCAACCCUGGAACUGCCUCUCAUACUGGUAGUCUUGAGGUCGAGAGAGGUGAGUGGAAUUCCGAGUGUAGAGGUGAAAUUCGUAGAUAUUCGGAGGAACACCAGUGGCGAAGGCGGCUCACUGGCUCGAUACUGACGCUGAGGUACGAAAGCGUGGGGAGCAAACAGGAUUAGAUA